UCUACGGGAGGCAGCAGUGGGGAAUAUUGCGCAAUGGGCGAAAGCCUGACGCAGCGACGCCGCGUGAGGGAUGAAGGUCUUCGGAUCGUAAACCUCUGUCAGCAGGGAAGAACGGUCACUGUGCUAAUCAGCAGUGAAUUGACGGUACCUGCAAAGGAAGCACCGGCGAACUCCGUGCCAGCAGCCGCGGUAAUACGGAGGGUGCGAGCGUUAAUCGGAAUUACUGGGCGUAAAGCGUUCGUAGGCGGUAUGUCAAGUCAAGGGUGAAAUCUCCGGGCUCAACGUGGGAACUGCCUUUGAUACUGGCAAACUGGAGUGUGUGAGAGGAUAGUGGAAUUCGAGGUGUAGGAGUGAAAUCCGUAGAUAUCUGGAGGAACAUCAGUGGCGAAGGCGACUAUCUGGCACAUAACUGACGCUGAGGAGCGAAAGCGUGGGUAGCAAACAGGAUUAGAUACCCCAGUAGUC
rnacentral:rRNA from 1 species